rnacentral:rRNA from 1 species
CGAACGGAACAGGUCUUCGGAUGCUGACGAGUGGCGAACGGGUGAGUAAUACAUCGGAACGUGCCCGAGAGUGGGGGAUAACGAAGCGAAAGCUUUGCUAAUACCGCAUACGAUCUCAGGAUGAAAGCAGGGGACCGCAAGGCCUUGCGCUCACGGAGCGGCCGAUGGCAGAUUAGGUAGUUGGUGGGAUAAAAGCUUACCAAGCCGACGAUCUGUAGCUGGUCUGAGAGGACGACCAGCCACACUGGGACUGAGACACGGCCCAGACUCCUACGGGAGGCAGCAGUGGGGAAUUUUGGACAAUGGGCGCAAGCCUGAUCCUAGCCAUGCCGCGUGCAGGAUGAAGGCCUUCGGGUUGUAAACUGCUUUUGUACGGAACGAAAAGACUCUGGUUAAUACCUGGGGUCCAUGACGGUACCGUAAGAAUAAGCACCGGCUA